rnacentral:rRNA from 2 species
GGACUACCGGGGUAUCUAAUCCUGUUUGCUCCCCACGCUUUCGCGCCUCAGUGUCAGGAAUCACCCAGAAAGCCGCCUUCGCCGCCGGCCUUCCCCCAGAUAUCUGCGCAUUUCACCGCUACACCUGGAGUUCCGCUUUCCCCUGUGAUCCUCAAGCCACGCAGUAUAACAUGCAAUUCCCCGGGUAAGCCGAGGGAUUUCACACGUUACUUACGCAACCACCUACGCGCCCUUUAAGCCCAGUGACACCGAACAACGUUCGCCCCUCACGUAUUACCGCGGCGGCUGGCAC